AAAUAAAGUUCUUAAAGCAUAGCAAUUAGUCUAAACUGAUAUUAUAGAUAAAAACAUUAUUAAAUUCAGUAAAGGUGAUUAAAGUUUUUUGUUUUUGCUUUUUAAAGUACCGUGAGGGAAUAUUAUAAAUUAUAUUAAAGAAAAAAUUAAAUUUUGUACCUUUUGCAUCAUGGUUUAACUAGAUUUAAAAUUUUAAAUAAAAAUACUCGAAACCUAAAUGAGCUAUUUUUGAUCCAGUCUUAUAGGACUGAAGAAGUAAUUGUAGCAAAAAUUUUUCUAGAAUCAAAAAUAGAAAUGAAAUUUUAUUCGCAUUAGGUGAUAGCUAGUUCUUCUUUCAAGACAUAGAAGUGUUUUAGGUUAAUUUAAUUUAAUAAACUUUUAUUACUAAACUUAUUUUAACCUAACUAUAUUGUUGAGGAUAAGCUCAAGAAUUAUUUGUUAACUUUAACAUACUAAAUUUAUAUUUAAACUUAGGCCUGAAAAUAGUCAAAAUUAUAAAGAUUUUGUUAUAAUUUCAUUAAUUUAUAAAAAAUAUAAUUAAUUUGUUAAUAAAUGACGAAGAGAUCUCAUAUAUCAAAAAGUGAGUUAUAUAUAUGUUAAAAUGAGUAUUUACUAAAAUUAUUUCAACUAAAAUAAUAUAGUUUUAGAACUUAAUAAUUAAUUUUCCCAAAAAAUCGUAAAAAGGAACUCGGCAAUACAGCAUUCUGCCUGUUUAUCAAAAACAUGGCUUCACGAUCUUUUAAAAUAUGUGAAGUCGGACCUGCCCAGUGAAUUUUUUAAACGGCCGCGGUACUCUGACCGUGCAAAGGUAGCAUAAUCAUUUGCCUUAUAAUUGAAGGCUGGUAUGAAUGGUUUGACAAGAAUGCAACUGUCUCUUUACGACUAAGUAGAAUUUUAUUUUUGGAUGAAAAAGUCCCAAUAAAAUUAAAAGACAAGAAGACCCUAUCGAGCUUGAAAGAAAUUAACAAACAUAUAUAUGCUAAUCUGUAAAUCAAGUUGUUAAAAAUUUUGGUUGGGGCAACCGAGGAGUAGAUAAAGCCUCCUUUAUUAAAUAAAAACAUUACUAGUCUUGAUCCAAAAAUUUUGAUUAAAGGAAAUAGUUACCGUAGGGAUAACAGCAUUAUCUUUUUUGAGAGCUCUUAUCGAAAAAAAGGUUUGUGACCUCGAUGUUGGACCAGAAUAUCCUAAAGAUGCAGAAGUCUUUAAGGGUUGGUCUGUUCGACCAUUAAAAUUCUACGUGAUCUGAGUUCAGACCGGCGUGAGCCAGGUCAGUUUCUAUCUUUAAUUUUUUGAGUAUAUUUAGUACGAAAGGACCAAUAUACUACAUUAUAUGUAAUUUAUAUGUAAUUUUUCAAGAAAAAAUAUAAUAAAGCUAUAAUUAAAUUAU
rnacentral:rRNA from 1 species